rnacentral:tRNA from 1 species
GGAGGGAUGGCAGAGUGGUCUAUUGCGGCGGUCUUGAAAACCGUUGGCCGUAAGGCCCGCAGGUUCGAAUCCUGCUCCCUCCGCCA